rnacentral:rRNA from 1 species
GACUACUCGGGUAUCUAAUCCUCUUCGCUCCCCACGCUUUAGUAAUUUAGCGUCAGAACUGUCCUAGUAAGCUGUCUUCACAGUUGGUGUUCUUGCCGAUAUUAACGGAUUUAACCCCUACACCGGCAAUUCCGCUUACCUCUUCCAGUCUCUAGUCUACCAGUAUCAACGGCAGGUCUCCAGUUGAGCUGAAGGUUUUUACCAUUGACUUAAUAAACCGCCUACUUACGCUUUACACCCAAUAAAUCCGGGUAACGCUUGGACCACUCGUAUUACCGCUGCUGCUGGCACGAGUUUAGCAGGUCCUUAUUCCUCUAAUACAGUCAUUAGUUCGUCUUAAAGAAAAGAUUUUUACACCCCGAAGGGCUUCAUCAAUCACGCGGCGUCGCUCCCUCACACUUUCGUGCAUUGGGGAAGAUUCCCCACUGCUGCCUCCCGUAGG